rnacentral:rRNA from 1 species
CAAUAGCGUAUAUUAAAGUUGUUGCGGUAAAAAAGCUCGUAGUUGGAUUUCUACCGAAGAUAGCCGGUCGGGUCUUCGACCUUGUAUCUGGUUUUGUCUUUGGUAUCCUCAUAGGGAACGUUUCUGCGCUUUAUUGCGCGGUGCGGUAUCUAUGACUUUUACUUUGAGGAAAUUAGAGUGUUCACGGCAGGCAAACGCCUUGAAUAUAUUAGCAUGGAAUAAUAACAUAGGAUCUUCGUCCUAUUUUGUUGGUUUCUAGGGCUAAGAUAAUGAUUAAUAGGGAUAAUUGGGGGCAUCUGUAUCAACGCGUCAGAGGUGGAAUUCUUGGAUUGCGUUGCGACAAACUACUGCGAAAGCAUUUGCCAAGGAUGUUUUCAUUGA